CACGGGGGGAGCAAGCGUUGUUCGGAAUCACUGGGCGUAAAGGGCGUGUAGGCGGUCAAGUAAGUGGAAUGUGAAAUGCCCCGGCUCACCCGGGGACCUGCAUCCCAAACUGCUUGGCUUGAGUAUGGGAGAGGAUGAGGGAAUUCUUGGUGUAGCGGUGAAAUGCGUAGAUAUCAGGAGGAACACCGGUGGCGAAGGCGCUCAUCUGGCCCAAUACUGACGCUGAGGCGCGAAAGCUAGGGGAGCAAACGGG
rnacentral:rRNA from 1 species